rnacentral:rRNA from 1 species
CAGUCGCCGCGGUAAUACGUAGGUGGCAAGCGUUGUCCGGAAUUAUUGGGCGUAAAGGGCUCGCAGGCGGUUUCUUAAGUCUGAUGUGAAAGCCCCCGGCUCAACCGGGGAGGGUCAUUGGAAACUGGGAAACUUGAGUGCAGAAGAGGAGAGUGGAAUUCUACGUGUAGCGGUGAAAUGCGUAGAGAUGUGGAGGAACACCAGUGGCGAAGGCGACUCUCUGGUCUGUAACUGACGCUGAGGAGCGAAAGCGUGGGGAGCGAACAGGAUUAGAGACCCGUGUAGUCCCUGUCUCUUAUAC